UGAGGUAGACGUUUAGCCCGAAA
rnacentral:miRNA from 1 species